rnacentral:rRNA from 1 species
GAUGAACGCUAGCGGCAGGCUUAACACAUGCAAGUCAGGGGGUAACAUAGAAAAGCUUGCUUUUCUGAUGACGACCGGCGCACGGGUGCGUAACGCGUAUACAACCUACCUUUUAUCGGGGGAAUAGCCCAGGGAAACUUGGAUUAAUGCCCCAUAGUAUAUGGACUUCUCCUGAAGUUUAUAUUAAACAUUUAUGGCUAUUAGAUGGGUAUGCGUCCUAUUAGUUAGUUGGUAAGGUAACGGCUUACCAAGGCAGCGAUAGGUAGGGGUCCUGAGAGGGAGAUCCCCACACUGGUACUGAGACACGGACCAGACUCCUACGGGAGGCAGCAGUGAGGAAUAUUGGACAAUGGGCGAGAGCCUGAUCCAGCCAUGCCGCGUGCAGGAAGACUGCCCUAUGGGUUGUAAACUGUCUUUUACAGAGGAAGAACCCACCCCACGUGUGGGGGUUUGACGGUACUCUGCGAAUAAGGAUCGGCUAACUCCGUG